GUACUUACCUGGUGGCGGGGCCUCGUUAACCCCCGAGGACGAAAUCCCAGGGUGAGGCACGGGCAUUGCACUGCGCUCGCGUUAAUCGCUUCCACUACCCCAUAUAUGGGAAGAUGGCGCAUGCAAAUGGC
rnacentral:snRNA from 1 species